UAAAUUAAGAUAAAAUAUUUUUUAUUUAAAAAUAUAUUGUAUAGUUAUUAAAAAUUUGAACUAACAAUAUUUAUAGAAUCUGUAGAUUUAUAAGAAUCUAAUGAUUUUACGAUUAGAAAUCAAAAUUUUUAAACAAAAUUGUAGCAAUUUUUUAAAGAUUUAGUAAUAUAAAUUAUAUAAUUAUAGAAAAUAAAAUAAAAUAUAAUUUCGAAAUUUUAAUGUUAUAUAUGAAUAUAUUUAUUUUAUAGAUGAUGUAUGUGAUAUUAUCAUAUUUAAAGAAGUUUACCAAAAAUAAAUAUCAAUAUUAAAUGUAAGGUAUGAGUUAUUACCAUAUUCUAAAAAGUUUACCAAAAAUAUAAAUCAACAUUAAAUGAAAUAAUCCAUGUCAUAUUUUUUGGAAGCCAUGUCAUCAAUUUUAGUAGACAUGUCAUAGUUUUUUGUGUGAAACUGAUUGUAGAGAGGACAUGUGGCAAAAUCACUUCUCAAAUAUAGUCUAGGGACUUAGUUGUUUGUUGGGUCACGUAAUAUCGGCCCAUAUAGUUUAAUUGGGCCAAGUAAAGCCCAUAAUAAAGUACAGCCGCCGAGGGAAACCCUAAUCUCCCAGUGUUCUGUAUAUUUAUUAUGGUUUUCUUCUUCUCCCAACCAUAGUAUCUUUGUCAUCUGUCUUGUCUCUUUAUUAUUGUUCUGUUUAGAGUUUUGUUGAAAGAGUUCGUUUUGUGUCUUGUGUGGAAGGGUAUAUGGUGAUGCUACAAUAAUGUUGUGGACUAGAGUUUCAGAUCUGGGCACUUCACCCAGAAGUUGAAGAGUAACCCUUGGCUGUCUGAGUAUUCCCUUUCACACCCUUUAUUAGUUAUUUUGAUUAAUUUAGUUUUUUUUAUUGAUGUUGGCUAUGGGAUAUUUGAUGAGCUUAUGAUGAUAAAAACAAUUAUCUUAGCGGAUUUCAGUGAGGUUUAUUUCAAUGAUCUGAAUUUGUUACACACACUGAGGCUCUUUUAUGUUUACCAAGUUUUUUUUGGUUGCGUUAUAUUUUUGAUGCUAUGAUGAGAUGAAAGCACGAAGAGUGUAAGAAGAGCAGUGGACAAUUACAGAUUCUGUGAAGGGUUUGUUUUUGCCGUGAGCUUUCCUAAAUAAACGACUUCUCCUUCCACUGAGCAUAUUGAAAUUGUUUUUUCUUUUUAGUGUCUUUUUGGGCGUCCAUUACCAAUUCUGAGGGAUAAGACAAUUCCUUUAGGUAUAAUGGCUUGUGACGCAAUAUCAAUUCGUGGGUUGAAGCUCAUUGAUGUGUCGCCACAAGAGUUCUAAUUGGUGCGAAGCUUUAAGAGACUGAGAUUAGGGAGGCCAAGACGCUAUAAUACGAUGUGAUUGCCAGUUCGUUUUGGUUAUUUACACCCAGUGUAUCUUUAAUCUCGGACCUUUUUAUUGUGGUGGCUGUUUCGUUUUUUUUGGAAAAUAAUGUAAAUAACAAACAUGUAAGAACAAAUACGUUUGACUUUGUUAUUCAACCACUCUAUGAAUACAGUGGAGUUGUUGAAAAAUAAAAAAAGGGAGUGAAAUUAAUUUGGUUUGA